rnacentral:rRNA from 1 species
UUCCGGUAGGUGAACCUGCGGAAGGAUCAUUA